ensembl:lncRNA
ACAACUACUGCAGCUACAUUUUACCGAGUGUGUUUUCUGCAGCGGAUGCUGUGUCAAGUCCUUUCCAAAGCCACAUGACCACCCUAUGGCUCCAGUCUCUCACCAUUGACGGAGAACUUCUGCAUCCACCCUGACAACUCGAUCGUCACAGUUGCAGACGCGGCUGGGUCCUGCGUUGCUGUGGCCCUGGUGUAGGCCGGUGGCUACAGCUCCAAUUCGACCUCUAGCCUGGGAACCUCCAUAUGCCUAAGGAGCAGCCCUAGAAAUGGCAAAAAGACCAAAAAAAAGAAGGAAAUUAAUAGAAGAUAAAUCAGAUUUCCACUUUCUCCGAAGCUACUCUCUUUAUUUUCCAUUAUAGAACGUUACUCAUUCUAUUUCUGUAGUUAGCUUUAUCAGUUCUUCCCAUGUCCUAUUCUUGGAAAAGUACCUUUUUUUUUUAAUUUCAAAAGUAAUAUACAGUCACAGAAAAAAAUUAAUAUCGAUAAGCCCCCCAAAAGGAAGAGAAAAUUAAAAUCAUCUCUGAUUUCUCUAUCCCCAAAUAAUAUCAUUUAACAUGUUGAUAUGCAUCCUUCCAGACACUGCCCCAGGCAUAAAACUAUCAUUGCUCCUAGAGUGAUUUACAAAUAUUUAGUUAUUUUAUGCCUAACGUCUUCUCUACCUCCUGCUCUUGAAGUUUAGGGACAUUUUCUUCGUUUGACAAUGUGGACUUAAUACGGGGACUCUGAACAUAUUUUAUUGCAUGAGGAUCUUGUUGAUAUCAUAAAAUCAGAGGAAGGAUAAUAUUUAUUAGAAAUAUCCAGGCACAGGGCUCAGAAACAAAUCGCUUGUGCCUGAGCAGCAUUCUGUGUGUUCGAAGUGGCCAUGUAAACACCAAGCCCGGUGGAAUCAUAUAUCAUUACUCCAUAAACAACAAUAACAAUCCUUGAUUUAUAUCUUCAUAUUUUCUGCCUUGUUCUUGCAGAAAAGUUGGUAAAGGCUGAUUAUACUGUUACACCUACUUUUUUAGAAGAUAGAAGAUAGGAGAAAAUAUUACCACAGUGGAAGGAGGGGGGAACCCAGAGGAAAAUCCGUUUUUUAAAAAAUCUGGGACGUGUCAGCUUGAUACACAGCUCUGAAGAUGAGAGCAAAGCAAAACAAACGCAUGAGUUAUUUCUUGGAUCAAAAGUUUCAAUCAUCUUUGGGGCUCACUUCUUAGGUAUUUGGAUAUUUAUAAACGAUAAGUAAGAUGGCAAACUCAAAAAAAAAUCUGGAAUGUGAAGCUUUCAGGUGAAAUGGUCUUGAACCAUGUUUCAGGCUGCAGUCUUCAUCAAAAGAAUUUUUAUCAGUGUGGGGAGCAGAGCUUAACAUUAAGAUGAAGGUGUGUUUCUUUUUUAUGAGUAUAAUCCUGCUGCAUUGAUGUGAAGCAGAAAUGUGUGCAGAGAUUGCUACCAAACACAGCCCCCAGUUCUUCCAUUUCAACAGGGAGUCAUCUGCAGGAUUUUUUGGCCAUACAUAUGAUUAUUAUGAUGUGAUUACUUCUAAUAGAAUUUCUACACAAAAUGUGCUUGGUUAAUUUUGUAUUCUCAGGUUGUAGCAGUUUCAGAAUCCACCGAUUUGGAUUUUUUUUUUUUUUUGGACAUUUUUGAGUACAGCAUAUCCAAGUUUUAUUUGGUUUUUAAAAGUGCUGCUGAUUGGAGUUCCCAUCGUUGCUGCAGCAGAAACAAAUCCGACUAGGAACCAUGAGGUUGUGGGUUCCAUCUCUGGCCUCAAUCAGUGGGUUAAGGAUCUGGUGUUGCCAUGAGCUGAGGUGUAGGUCGAAGACACGAAGACACGGAUCCUGCGUUGCUGUGGUGUAGGCCAGCAGUUGUAGCUCCGAUUUGACUGCUAGCCUGGGAACCUCCAUAUGCCAUGAGUGUGGCCCUAAAAAG